CCUACGGGGGGCAGCAGUAAGGAAUAUUGGACAAUGGGCGAAAGCCUGAUCCAGCCAUGCCGCGUGCAGGAUGAAGGCCCUAUGGGUUGUAAACUGCUUUUGGCGGGGAAAAAACCCUUGUACUUGUACGAGGCUGAUGGUACCCGCAGAAUAAGGAUCGGCUAACUCCGUGCCAGCAGCCGCGGUAAUACGGAGGAUCCAAGCGUUAUCCGGAUUUAUUGGGUUUAAAGGGUGCGUAGGCGGAUUAGUAAGUCAGUGGUGAAAGCCUGCAGCUCAACUGUAGAACUGCCAUUGAUACUGCUAGUCUUGAGUAUAGUUGAGGAGGGCGGAAUAUGACAUGUAGCGGUGAAAUGCUUAGAUAUGUCAUAGAACACCGAUUGCGAAGGCAGCUCUCUAAGCUAACACUGACGCUGAGGCACGAAAGCGUGGGUAGCAAACAGGAUUAGAUACCCCAGUAGUC
rnacentral:rRNA from 1 species